CCACAAAGUUUUAGUCCAAGUGUGAUUUUAGCCACACCCCUGAACUCAUAUUCAGAGUUUCGAUUGAGGCACGUUGCAGAAAGUGAAGUGGAUAUCCACAAGAACCAGCAUUUUUUGCUUUGAUUCCUUAGUCAUGGAUUACUUUUAUGUUUCAUUUAUGGGAUUUUUGGAGCUACAAAUGUCUGAUCACAUUCACUUGCAUUAUAAGGACCUACAGAGCUGAAAUAUUCUUCAAAAAAUCUUUGAUUGUGUUCAGCAGAAGAAAGUCAUACACAUCUGGGAUGCCAUGAGGAUGCAGGGGCAUCAGACCGGGGGUAAUGGUGAACCCGAGUAUCCGGGACCCCGACUGGAGAACGGCCCACAGAAAGGCUAUAUUGACAAGCUUAACUUCCUCUCACCGCCUCCAACUGAAUGGUCGUUACGUUGGGAGAUAAAGCUUUGAGGCAUUCAGCUCCAGCCUGCUGAAAUUCUAUGGUUUCAGAGCCCCUUAGGGGAUCAGAUCUGCUUAUGACUCAUUCACACGGUGAUUGUGGUGGUAGAAAGCUUACUUUGAUUACUAUUUGAUUAUUGACCAAGAAAUCGUGUGGGAUCUUAAAUAUUAUUUUUAAUGUUUUGUUGAUGUCUUUAUGUCCUGAAAAUGAUAUUACAAUUUUAUUUAGAUUUGAAAUCAAUUUUGACGUGUGUGUUUGCUUUUUUCCCUUAAUUAUGUAGUUUCACUGUUCACUGAGUGUCACUGUUAUUGUGGUUUAAGGAGCAUGUAUGCCGAGUUGAAAAUUCUACUGAUUACAUUAAAAUUAAUGUGUAACCUUAACUACACAUUAUCAUGUAAAUAAUCAGUCAGUCAACUGCACUAAUUGCAGUUUGAUGCCUGAUUGAAGUCUCCCAGGUCUGAAGCACAACAUUACAUGAACAGAUCUAGAGACAGUUUAG